rnacentral:rRNA from 1 species
GUCCUAGCUGUAAACGAUGGGCACUGGGUAGAGGUGGUGUCGAUACCGUCUCUGCCGAAGCAAAUGUGUUAAGUGCCCCGCCUGGGGAGUACGGUCGCAAGGCUAAAACUCAAAGGAAUUGACGGGGGCUCACACAAGCGGUGGAGCAUGUGGUUCAAUUCGAAGCAACGCGAAGAACCUUACCCGGGUUUGAAAUCCACGGAUGGGUCCGACGAAAGUUGGAUACCCUGCCCGCAAGGGUGAAACGUGGACAGGUGUUGCAUGGCUGUCGU